AGCUUAUCAAGAGAGGUGGAGGGACUGGCCCUAUGAAGCCCAGCAACCAGUAUUACUAAGGUAAUGCUAAGGUGCUAAUUCCUGCGGUGUAUGCCGAAAGAUGAGGA
rnacentral:ncRNA from 2 species